GCUGGCGGCGACAGCUGCUGAGCAUUGGGGCUUCUCCCGUUGACUCAGCCCUGGCAGGAGGCUGCUGUCGCUGCCGCCCGUGCACCUCCUGCGCCGGAGAGCUGGCUCUGGGCACUGCUCCCUGCUGCUUUGCCCGCUCCUCCCGGGCUCUGCCGGGCGCAGGGUCCCGCAGCCCGCCUGCCAAGGGAAGCGCGCUGCACCGUACAUGGUGGUUUCCUAUCGAUGUGGUUUUGCUGCUCCCUGUGAACCGCCCGCCAACGUCUGUCGGUGUCCAGCCGCGGUGCCCCCCGAGGGCGUUACGAGAAGGCGGGGGGGGGACAGGUUGGCGAGCUUGGCGGGAGUAGCCACAUGCAUCUCCUCGUCUGCAAUGACUGCACCUGCGAGUGAAUGAAGCUGCUGCACUGAGGAGGGCCGAGAAAGACACGCAGCGGCUCCAGGGGUCCUGAUCAUCUUGCGGGUCUCAGCCUCCCCCCGCCUUAACCUCCCAAACCUGCUCCAUGCGGGAGCCGAAGAGGAUCUCCCCGCAUGCCCUUGUGGAGGCCCACUUCUGCACCCCCCACUGACAGGUACUGUGGGGCGGGGGCAGCCUGGCCCCUCUGUGUGCGUGUGUCUCCUCUCGCCUUCUCUUCCCAGGGAUUUAUUGGAUGAAGAUUUUUAUUCUUUUUUUUUUUUUUUUUUUUUUUGGUUGGUUGCUGGUCGGUCUGUGGGGUGGGAAAGGAGAGAGACUUCAGCUGACACGGUGCCUGUGCUACAGAGCUUCCCUCGCGUUACUCUCUGCCUCGUGGGGAAAUAUCCAGCUGUUCAUCUGAAGGGCAUUUACAUCAUGGUUUAGCGAGGGAUCUCCCACGAAAAAACUCCCCCUCCCCUUUUCUCUAGCUCCUUCCCCCCCUCCCCAAACUACGGACCCAAUACUUUAGGAAUAACCAUUCCAACUGGUUAUCUCCGGGCAGCGGAGACUGAUGGACAGUUACUCCACUCUGCAAUAGUGGUGUAAUGUCCCCAGCAUGGAUGCUACAGGCUGCUAGCCCAAAGUCACAUAGCAGGAACGCACUACGUGAAAAAACCUUGAGUCAAAAUGAUCGCUACCUAGACGUCUGCAGCUACAGGAACUAUUAGCAAUGCAGUGUUUGGAGAUGACAACCAAAAGGAAAAUUAUUGGCCGUCUGGUGCCAUGCCGAUGUUUCCGGGGUGAAGAGGAAAUCAUCUCAGUGCUAGAUUACUCCCAUUGCAGCCUACAGCAGGUGCCAAAGGAGGUUUUUAAUUUAGAACGGACAUUAGAGGAGCUUUACCUAGAUGCCAAUCAAAUUGAAGAUCUACCUAAGCAAUUGUUCAACUGUCAAGCUCUACGUAAACUGAGUAUACCAGACAACGACCUUUCAAGCCUGCCAACCACUAUUGCUAAUUUAGUUAAUCUCAAGGAACUUGACAUCAGUAAAAAUGGGAUUCAAGAUUUUCCAGAAACUAUAAAGUGCUGUAAGUGUUUAACAAUUAUUGAAGCCAGUGUCAAUCCAAUUUCUAAGCUGCCAGAUGGUUUCACACAGCUUCUAAACUUGACCCAGCUCUACCUAAAUGAUGCCUUUCUGGAGUUUCUUCCAGCUAACUUUGGAAGACUUGUCAAAUUGCGUAUCUUGGAGUUAAGAGAAAAUCAUUUGAAAACUCUACCAAAGUCAAUGCACAAACUGACACAGCUGGAGAGGCUUGACCUAGGCAAUAAUGAGUUCUCUGAGCUGCCUGAGGUUCUGGAACAAAUACAAAACCUAAAGGAAUUGUGGAUGGACAAUAAUUCACUUCAGAUGCUGCCUGGGUCUAUAGGGAAGUUAAAGCAGUUGGUGUACCUGGAUAUGUCAAAAAACAGGAUAGAAACUGUUGACUUGGAUGUAUCAGGAUGUGAAGCACUUGAAGAUCUCCUAUUGUCAUCCAAUAUGUUACAACAACUGCCAGACUCUCUAGGAUUGUUGAAAAGGCUUACAACGCUAAAAGUAGAUGACAAUCAGCUUACAGUACUGCCCAAUGCAAUUGGAAAUUUAUCUCUAUUAGAAGAAUUUGACUGCAGCUGUAAUGAACUGGAGUCCCUACCUUCUACCAUUGGUUACCUUCAUAGCCUGCGAACAUUAGCUGUGGAUGAGAAUUUCCUGUCUGAAUUGCCUAGAGAAAUUGGAAGCUGUAAGAACGUAACAGUUAUGUCCCUGCGCUCUAACAAGCUAGAAUUUCUUCCUGAUGAGAUUGGUCAGAUGCAGAAGCUGAGAGUGUUAAAUCUGAGUGAUAACAGACUGAAGAAUUUACCAUUCACUUUUACUAAGCUUAAAGAACUUGCAGCUUUGUGGCUAUCUGACAACCAGUCCAAAGCCCUUAUCCCUCUGCAAACUGAGGCCCAUCCAGAAACAAAGCAAAGAGUACUGACUAACUACAUGUUUCCUCAGCAACCCCGUGGGGAUGAAGAUUUCCAGUCAGACAGCGAUAGCUUUAACCCUACUUUAUGGGAGGAGCAGCGACAGCAGCGGAUGACUGUAGCCUUUGAAUUUGAAGAAAAAAAGGAAGAGGAGGAAAAUGCAGGAAAAGUUAAGGUUGAAAUAAAUCUAAAGCGUUAUCCAACUCCAUACCCAGAAGAUUUAAAGAACAUGGUAAAAUCUGUUCAAAAUCUGGUGGGCAAAACAAGCCAUGGAGUGAGGCCUGAGAACUCAACCCCAGCUGCCAACAGUGAGCAAACCAUGAAAGAAAAGUAUGAGCACAAGUGGCCUAUGGCAACAAAGGAGAUUUCAGUGGAGGAUUCCUUUGGACACCCUGCUAAUGACAUGAGGAUAGGAGAACUUCGCCCUUCAAUGGCUGAAGCUCCCUUGUACCAACCCAAACUUGUUCUUCUGGGUAAAGAAAAGAAAGAAUCAACAGACGAAUCUGAAGCAGAUAAAAUCCACUGUCUCAAUAACAGUGUUUCCUCAGGCACUUACUCAGACUACUCACCUUCCCAAGCUUCCUCAGGGUCCUCUAAUGCUCGUGUUAAAAUGGGGUCCUUGCAAACAACUGCCAAAGAAGCAGUGAAUAAUUCUUUGUGGGGUAACAGGCUUGCGCAGUCUUUUCCACAGCCUCUUGAGACAAAGCCAUUACUCAGCCAGCUAGAAUCUGCUCCAGUGGGAAAUCUGCAGCAGCGCAAUGACAGGCAUCCAAUGAGUGACACUUUUGCUGACAGCUGGAAUGAUACCCCACACUAUGAUAACACAGGGUUUGUUGCAGAGGAGAGCACAGUGGAGAAUCCUAGCACUAACCCUCUCUUAUGCUCUAAAUCUAGAAGCACAUCUGCUCAUGGACGCAGGCCUUUAAUUAGACAAGACAGGAUAGUUGGCAUUCCCCUGGAACUUGAACAGCCUACACUCAGAAACACACCUGAAUCAGAAGUGCCUCCUCCCAAUCCUUGGCAGAAUUGGACCAGAACUCCAAGUCCUUUUGAAGAUAGGACAGCUUUUCCUUCUAAAUUGGAGAGCACCCCCACCACCAGCCCUUUGCCUGAAAGGAAAGAUCAUAUCAAAGAAUCUCCUGAAGCAGCUAGCACUUUUUCUCCAGGAGUAGCGUGGGAGUAUCAUGAUUCAAAUGCUAACAGAAGUCUUAGUAAUGUCUUUUCACAUAUUCAUUGCCGUCCAGAGUCUUCUAAAAGUGUUAUUGCAAUGAGCAAGAGUACAGAGAGGCUUUCCCCAAUGAUGAGAGAUUUAAAAACUAGUAAAUUUAAGAAGUCGCAAAGUAUUGAUGAGAUAGACAUCGGUACAUAUAAAGUUUAUAAUAUUCCAUUAGAAAACUAUGCAUCCCGUAAUGACAAUGCAGGAACCCAUGAAAGACUAGAUAAAAUGAUAGGACAGGAGCAUGGUAUGUCUAGUAUGUCUCGUAGCCAGUCUGUACCAAUGCUAGAUGAUGAGUUGCUGAGUUAUGGAAGUGUUAAGGUACAGCAGCAGCAAAAGCCUUCUGUUACCAAAAAAGUCUAUCAGUUUGACCAAAGCUUCAACCCUCAAGGAGCAGUGGAAGUUAAAGCAGAAAAGAGGAUACCACCACCUUUUCAACACAAUCCAGAAUAUGUUCCCCAGCAGAGUAAAAACAUUGCCAAGGAUUUGGUUAGUCCAAGAGCCUAUAGAGGCUAUCCCCCCAUAGAGCAUAUGUUUUCAUUCUCUCAGCCUUCAGUUAAUGAGGAGGCUGUUAAUGCUCAGUUCUCAGCCCAGGGAUCAAGGUCAGGAUUUUUGAGAAGAGCUGAUUCAUUGGCAAGCUCCACUGAAAUGUCAAUGUAUAGAAGAGUAAGCGAACCUCACGAACUGCCUCAGAGUGAUAGGUAUAGCAGACCUCAGUAUAGAGCAGCUAUGGAACGCCAAAGUAGUAUCUCAGUGUCUGAAACCCAGUUCCUCAAAAGAAAUGGCAGGUAUGAAGAUGAACACCCUUCAUAUCAAGAAGUGAAAGCCCAGUCUGGAAGUUUUCCAGUUAAAAACCUUACACAAAGGAGACCAUUGUCUGCAAGAAGCUACAGUACAGAGAGUUAUGGUACAUCUCAGACUAGGCCAGUUUCAGCUCGGCCUACAAUGGCAGCUCUAUUGGAAAAGAUACCAUCGGACUAUAACUUGGGUAACUAUGGUGACAAGCCUUCAGAUAACAGUGAUGUAAAGACAAGGCCUACCCCUGUGAAGGGAAAUGAGAGCUGUGGUAAAAUGCCUGCAGACUGGAGACAACAGCUACUUAGACAUAUAGAAGCUAGAAGGUUAGACAGGACCCCAUCACAGCAGAGCAACAUUCUAGACAAUGGACAAGAAGAUGUUUCUGCUAGUAGCCAAUGGAAUCCAUAUCCACUUGGAAGGCGGGAUGUGCCACCAGAAACCAUUACUAAAAAGGCAGGUAGCCAUAUCCAGACUUUGAUGGGAUCUCAAAGCCUACAACAUCGGAGUCGAGAGCAGCAAUAUGAAGGAAACAUGAAUAAAGUGACCAUUCAGCAGUUUCAGUCACCACUGCCAAUUCAGAUCCCUUCUUCGCAGAGCUCUCGGGCACCUCAGGCGGGACGGUGCUUAAUCCAAACCAAAGGGCAGAGGAGUAUGGAUGGUUAUCAGGAGCAGUUUUGUGUGAGAAUAGAAAAGAAUCCUGGCCUUGGAUUUAGUAUCAGUGGUGGAAUAAGUGGACAAGGAAAUCCAUUCAAACCUUCUGAUAAGGGUAUCUUUGUUACUAGGGUUCAGCCUGAUGGACCAGCAUCCAGCCUGCUCCAGCCUGGUGAUAAGAUCCUUAAGAUUUCAGAACCUGGCCAUUGCUUAAUUUCUGGCCAACAAACUUGGGAUGGAUUCUUGAUGGCAGUGAGAACACAUGAAGAGGCAGAUACUUCCUGAUCCCAUUUCUGAGCCAAUCUUCUGUCCUGAAGAAAUAACACAGUCCAUUGUAGAGCAUGUUUAGAAUGUCUGAGGCAAAUGGACACAGUUUUGUACAUAUGGAACAUGAGAAAGCUGUAUUACUACUGAAGAGUUUCCAGAAUACAGUAGACCUAGUUAUUCAACGUGAGCUUACUGUCUAAGUAUUUUUUAUAAAUAGUAAACGUAUGUCUAGCCAGAUCUAACGUUCAAACAGAAAUUUAUACAUAGGAAACAAAUUUUGCCAAUUGCUGGACCAAUGGCAAACAUUAGUGCCAAAUGUAUAAUACUAUAUGUUAGUACUGCGCCUCUUGAAAAAUGUUAACUAUAUAAAUAUGAUGUUCAUGUGGUUAUGUAUUAGUUUUAAUUGUCAGCCUCUGGCUGUGCAUUGGUGCAGUUUCUUUUUUAAUCAAGUUACUUCUCAAAGUGGAUUUCAUAAACUUCAGAACACAGAAGCACACAAAAGCUCUUUAUGAAUUCUGCUGUCCAUCAAAAAUACUGCCUCAAAGUUGUAUAUAUCUUUAUAAAGAAAAACAUAUAUUGAGUUGUAAUUCCCAUAAAAUAUUUCUAUCACCAGUGCUAUACUAAAAGAAAGAUUAUAGAGAAAAAAUAUUUUCAUAGACACCACUAAGAAAGUAAAUAUUAAAUUUGAACUUUAGUAUGUUGAUUUUUUCAAUGCAAAUAUAUAUAUAUAUGCCUUAUAGAAGUAACUGUACAAGUACAGUGUUUAGUGCUGAGUCCAUAUUAAUUAGCUGAAUUAUUGCAAUACAGGGUGAAAUACUUCAUAAAUUAUACUUUCAAGCCUGGGACCUAAACAUAAUAGUCUAGGCAAAAUUAAUUGCUUUUGUCUGAUCCUUUUAGCUGAUUACAUGUAAGCUUGUGAAAUAGACAUAAUUUUAGAUAGUGUUGUUCCUCAAAUAAAAGCAGUGAGUGGUGGUUGACAGGAAAAACUAAUGCUUUAUUUUUGUGAAUUUUUUAAUUUAUUUAAAAUUAUAGAGCCCUUUCAAUAAACUUUGAUUCCCAAUUCUCCCACCAGACUAUAAUAACCCUGAGUAAGGAAGGCCAAAUCUAGCCCUUUGUGGCAGCAGUCCCAUUGAAAUAAGUGGGACUAUGCAGGUACAAUGCAUUGCUAGUAAGACUAGAUAACAUUUAAAAUAUUUUCUCUCUGAGGUGUGCUAUAUAAAUACCAGUAGGUGAAUCUCAGUGCAGUUCUAAGGGGAUAGGAAUAGACACAGCACAAAACUACAUUACAUUGGUGUUAUUUCAGUAAUCCAAGUUUUAGUAAUUCCUACAGCUGACAGCAUGGAAAAUCAAUUUCUGUGCCAUGGAUAAGUCUACAAAUAUUGGGUAAAUCCUGUUUCCAUUGAAGUCAAUGGUAAAAAAUUGUGACGGCUAAUGAGAGUUUUUGAAGGAAAUAAAUUGAGUAUUCCAAAUUGGUUUUAUUAAAUUUGAACAUUUUUAAAAAACACAAAUCACCUAAAUUGUGGCUAUUGUAGAUUUUAAAGGUUACUAUCAAGAACUUUUUAGUUAAUGUGAGGUGUUUCUCUAUUGCAUAUGUAAUGCUGACAUACCCUGGUUGUCAACAGGCAGGAUUGAACUGGGGACCUCUGGAGCUUAGUGCAUAGCUAAUGCUGUAGAGCAGACUCAAUCUCUCUCUCUAAGUGGUCUUGAUGCCACUAGAUGGGACAGAACAUCACCCCCCAAGUGGUCUGUGGGUUAGACUCACACUAACUACAGUUUUCCCUCUCUCCUCUGAUUAAUUUACAUAUUAAUUAGUUUAAUUAAAAUAUAUAAUUAAACAGUUGUUUUUUUUAAAGUCAGUUUAUGUAAUGUUCUGUCUAUUAUAUGGUCUUCUGUUGCUCAUUAGAUAUCUGAGGUGGGGCUUGUUCCCUGAUGAAUGUUUUGAAUUGUCUUAUUUGGAUUUCAUUUAUUUUCAGCUGGCAUCUGGCAGCUGUUGCAAUGUGACAAUAUGGCUGGAGAUUUGGUCAGUCAGCUUCAUCACAAUGACAAAUUGUGGUUCUGAAGCAACUGGGGACUUUGGGUGCAUAGGAAUGCAGGGUUAGGGCUUUUGUUUGUAUUUACACGUUUCCUGGUUUUAAAAUGGUGACUGUUCACAUCCCCUUUAUUAUUUGCUUUCCACAAACAUGAAUGAUUACACGUCUUACUGCAAAACUGGAAAGUUUAUUCCAAAUCUGCAUGUGUAAGUUCUCACAGAAAACAAAUGUUCAUUUUGUACAAGUCCUCAUACUGGAAGUGCUGCUGCACUCAUCCAUUCAGGAGGCAGAAAUACCACCAUGUAACUUAUCUGACUACAACUGAUCCAUACCAGCUCUAAUUUUAAAUAUUUACACCCAAAUAGUUUGAAUUUAGUUAUUCUUUCACCUAAGAGGAGAUUUCAAAUUCCUCUAUUCGAAGAUAUUCAGCAAAUAAAUUCAAAUGAGUUAUUCAGUUAUUUGUGUCAGCCUGGGGUGCAGGAAUGCAGCAUCUUUAACGAUGUACAGACGCUCCCCGGGUUACGCAAACCUGCAUUUACGGAAAAAGUUCCUUAAGUGGUUUUUUGGUUUGGUUUUUUGUGUAAUUGUCAGGUAUAUGUCCUCGACUUACGCAAAAUUCGACUUACACAAGCAGAGCCAUAACUAGGGAUUUUUGCGCCCGAGGCAAGGGACGGGGCGGCACGUCCAGCUCUUUGGCAGCGGGUCCCUCUCGGAGGGAAAGACUUGCCACCGAAGGAGAGACUUUCUGCGCCCCUCACCUUCCGCCUCACUCGCCUCGCCCUCAUUAUGGCACUGUAUGCAAGGUGUUCCAGAACAGAAUGCUUGUGUAAGUCGGAGAGCGUCUGUAACAGCUGCAGAAUUGCAAAGUCCAUUAUUCAAAUUGUCAGCAUCAUCAGCUGUCCCUUUCAUAAUAAAACAGUCAAGAGAUGCUCACAUCCAUUCUUUACAUGCAGAAAUUCACUCAAUGUAAACACACUAAAUGUAAUACAUUCUGUGGGAAUUUCAUUGUAAUUUAUUUGCAUAGCUCAAAUAUUUCCCUUGACUUCCCUUGGCAAGAAAACUGAGUAAAUAAAAAGUUAGUUUUGAGUCAUGUUGUAACAUUGCCUACUACAUCCCUCCCCUAAGCAAAACUAGAAGACAGAAUCCUGAAGCAUGUUACAAAAUUAAAUAUUUUAUUUAUAUAGCACCAAGAUGUGGUAGGCAUUUUUACAGAGACAAGUGGGAUGACGAGGGUUCUGCCCUAGGGAGCCUACAAACUACAUAGACAACAUAUUGAAGAAAGAUGUAAUAUAACAAAAGCCAAGUGAUCUUUUGUGUCACAUUUUGUUCUGAUGGAUUUUUGAUUACAUAAACUGAUUAUGCCAAUGUGGUUUGUAAGCCUGAGUGUUAUAAGACACAGGUAGUUUUUUUAUUCUCCCUACCUCUCCUCCAGCUCUUUCUUGUCCAUUAUAUAGUCAGCUAUGUCUAGAUCUGCAUUUGGAGACUUUAAACUUCCCCCUUAAUUAAUGAAGUCUUUGUUGGGAAUAAAACCAGACAUUCCAGUGGAACCUCUGUCACAUUUAAGGUCUGAUGCUGCAGAUUUUGGAGUCAAUGGAAGCUUAGUAAAAGAGCUUUUCCUGGUAAGUGAGCAGGAGUUCAGGCUUUUCAUUCAGACAGUAGUUGAGCUUCAAGAUGCGUCUUCCCCACCCCAAUCCCCCAAAAAGCAAGCAUGAUUCUCGGUGUAUUUAUAUACAAAUUGGCAGAGGGGCUGCUCAUAUUUUGAGCGAUGAAGGAAGUCUUCAUUGUGGCUAAUUAGUAUGUUGUCUUGUUUUGAUGCAACACACUUUUGUCUUUUCUAGAGCGAUUCAAAAGAUGCAGUUAGUAAGUCACAGCUGAACCAAGGUAUCCAUGCACAUAUAUCUUGUUAAACUUGAGAUUCUAGGACAGAUACUGGCAGCAGAUGAACAGCAUAUAUAUGAUGUGGCACCCUGGAGUAUAUUCCAUAGAUGUGGUUAUUUUCAUGUUUCAUCAAUGAGUUCUGA